rnacentral:rRNA from 1 species
GAUGAACGCUAGCGGCAGGCCUAAUACAUGCAAGUCGAGGGGUAUCCCGCUUUCGGGCGGGAGAGACCGGCGCACGGGUGCGUAACGCGUAUGCAACCUACCCAUAUCUGGGGGAUAGCCCGGAGAAAUCCGGAUUCACACCGCAUAACAUCACAGUACGGCAUCGUACAAUGAUCAAAUAUUGAUAGGAAAUGGAUGGGCAUGCGUGUAAUUAGCUGGUUGAGGGGGUAACGGCCCACCAAGGCGACGAUGACUAGGGGAUCUGAGAGGAUGGCCCCCCACACUGGUACUGAGACACGGACCAGACUCCUACGGGAGGCAGCAGUAAGGAAUAUUGGUCAAUGGGCGGAAGCCUGAACCAGCCAUGCCGCGUGCAGGAAGACGGCCCUCUGGGUUGUAAACUGCUUUUAUUCGGGAAUAAACCUGCAUACGUGUAUGCAGCUGAACGUACCGAAGGAAUAAGGAUCGGCUAACUCCGUGCCAGCCGCCGGGUAA